AAAAGUAGUGGGUGUUAUAGGAGUUAUGGACAUCCACCAUAAUCUAAUAUUUCAUAACACAUGAAAAGUUUUCCAGCAAAAGCUAUUAUUUUUCAGCAAGUAUGUAAGGUUUGUGUUUCAGACCAUUUUUACGCGCUUGAAAAAAUGCGAGAAACACUCACCUGCCAUGUCAGCAUUUUGUGAAGUGUUCAAAUGAAAUAAACUUCAAGAUUAAGUAUUUAAGUGAAAAGGGUGAACAGCUGUAAGGGGCUGGCCAUGUAUUUGGCCUUUUAUUAUUCCUAAUUUAUAUGCACUUUAAGCUUGCCAGCAGCACAUAAAUUACAACAACACCAACAACAUACCCGGUAUAAUCCAUAUCGUUAAAUUUUAAAAGAGUAAUAUACAAACAGAACUUACUUGUUUUCAAUAAAUCCUCGAUUGCAGCCCACAAAUUCCUAAUCCAAAUUAUUAGUACAAUUUCCAAGAUAUAAAGAAGGUUGUAGCAAUAGUGGUUGAAUUUCCUAAAAACUGCGGUUUGGCCUAGUUAUUGCAAGUACAGAGUACAUUUUGAGCACAUAGCAGCACUCUUGAUAGAACGAAAGAAAGCCAAAAUGUGCUAUGGAUUACGUUAUACAUUUCAAAACCAAAGUUCCAAAUUUUAUUCUAUCUUCAACACACUAUGACCUAAAUGUUCCAAACUUUCUCAUCAACAACACCAUCUUCUGAAGCACAAUAAACACUAAGGGGUCGUUUGAUUAGGAAACAAGUUAUCUCGUAAUUAAUUAUGUUGAAUUGUUAUUCCACCCUUUCAUAAGGGUAAAAAUAAUACUACAAUCCGGGAUAACUAAUAAUCUCAAAUUUAUUUCCGAAAUUAAUAAUCUUGUAUCCAUCGUACCAAACCAGCCUUAAAAACACAAAGAGAAAAUACCAUAGUGAUACAAAAUAAGGAAAUGGAUACCUGCAAAGAUUAGCAAAACAGAGGUCUCCUUGUUUGAGGCACCCUAACUCAACUUCUGCAACUGUUUGCCUACCUUCCAGUUUUCUUUAAAUUUCUUUUUUCUAAUUUUAGCUCUUUAUUGAUUUUUAUUUGUCUUCUGAGAACGCCGAUUAUAAGGAAACGAGUAAUGGUUGGAAGAGCAUUAGCAAGAGGCUAAAAACACGCCUCUGUUCUUUCCCGUGGUUAUAUAACCUAACAGGUAAUUGC
rnacentral:lncRNA from 1 species